UACGGGGGGGGCAAGCGUUGUUCGGAAUUACUGGGCGUAAAGGGCUCGUAGGCGGCCAACUAAGUCGGAUGUGAAAUUCCCAGGCUUAACCUGGGAACUGCAUCCGAUACUGGAUGGCUUGAAUCCGGGAGAGGGAUGCAGAAUUCCAGGUGUAGCGGUGAAAUGCGUAGAUAUCUGGAGGAAUACCGGUGGCGAAGGCGGCAUCCUGGACCGGCAUUGACGCUGAGGAGCGAAAGCUAGGGGAGCAAACGGG
rnacentral:rRNA from 1 species